rnacentral:rRNA from 1 species
CUAGCUACAGGCUUAACACACGCAAGUCGAGGGGCAUCAAGAAGAAAAGCUUCGCUUUUCUUGCCGGCGACCGGCGCACGGGCGAGUAACACGUAUCCAACCUGCCCUUUACUCGGGGAUAGCCUUUCGAAAGAAAGAUUAAUACCCCGAUAGCAUAAUGAUUCCGCAUGGUUUCAUUAUUAAAGGAUUCCGGUAAAGGAUGGGGAUGCGUUUCCAUUAGGUUGUUGGUGGGGUAACGGCCCACCAAGCCUUCGAUGGAUAGGGGUUCUGAGAGGAAGGUCCCCCACAUUGGAACUGAGACACGGUCCAAACUCCUACGGGAGGCAGCAGUGAGGAAUAUUGGUCAAUGGGCGCUAGCCUGAACCAGCCAAGUAGCGUGGAGGAUGAAGGCUCUAUGGGUCGUAAACUUCUUUUAUAUAAGAAUAAAGUGCAGUAUGUAUACUGUUUUGUAUGUAUUAUAUGAAUAAGGAUCGGCUAACUCCGUGCCAGCAGCCGCGGUAAUACGGAGGAUCCGAGCGUUAUCCGGAUUUAUUGGGUUUAAAGGGAGCGUAGGUGGACUGGUAAGUCAGUUGUGAAAGUUUGCGGCUCAACCGUAAAAUUGCAGUUGAUACUGUCAGUCUUGAGUACAGUAGAGGUGGGCGGAAUUCGUGGUGUAGCGGUGAAAUGCUUAGAUAUCACGAAGAACUCCGAUUGCGAAGGCAGCUCACUGGACUGCAACUGACACUGAUGCUCGAAAGUGUGGGUAUCAAACAGGAUUAGAUACCCUGGUAGUCCACACAGUAAACGAUGAAUACUCGCUGUUUGCGAUAUACAGUAAGCGGCCAAGCGAAAGCAUUAAGUAUUCCACCUGGGGAGUACGCCGGCAACGGUGAAACUCAAAGGAAUUGACGGGGGCCCGCACAAGCGGAGGAACAUGUGGUUUAAUUCGAUGAUACGCGAGGAACCUUACCCGGGCUUAAAUUGCAGUGGAAUGAUGUGGAAACAUGUCAGUGAGCAAUCACCGCUGUGAAGGUGCUGCAUGGUUGUCGUCAGCUCGUGCCGUGAGGUGUCGGCUUAAGUGCCAUAACGAGCGCAACCCUUAUCUUCAGUUACUAACAGGUCAUGCUGAGGACUCUGGAGAGACUGCCGUCGUAAGAUGUGAGGAAGGUGGGGAUGACGUCAAAUCAGCACGGCCCUUACGUCCGGGGCUACACACGUGUUACAAUGGGGGGUACAGAAGGCAGCUAGCGGGUGACCGUAUGCUAAUCCCAAAAGCCUCUCUCAGUUCGGAUCGAAGUCUGCAACCCGACUUCGUGAAGCUGGAUUCGCUAGUAAUCGCGCAUCAGCCACGGCGCGGUGAAUACGUUCCCGGGCCU